UCCAAAUUAUAUUACAACGUACUUGGAUUAUUACACACGAUCGAGGUUCUUUCGUGUUACAUAAAAAGACCAACAAAUUGAUGAACCGACCCAGAAUUUGGACAAGACAAACGGACACAUGGAAACGAUCUCACAAAGAUAAAUAGAUAAUGUGGAAUAUAAUAAUUCUCCCAGGCGCGUCACGGCAUCAUGGUGCUCCUGCAAGUCGGCAUGAACGACGAGGGUGAAUUAGAAUUAAAUCUAAACAAGAUGCUUGUUUGUACGUGAAGAGAUGUGGUGGGCGAGAUGUCAAUGGAAAUUAACCCCCCUUGGAGCCAAGCAGGUGCGUGGCCAUCCAGCUGCCCCGAGAGGUGGAUCGAUCUGUCCUUGCAUGAUAUGGAAUACUCCACUUAAGACAGUGGAACUACAGAAACCGCAGCAGCAGAGUUUAGGGAUGGGCACGGAUGGUCUCACACGUGAUUCGUGACCGACUCUAAUGUACAUAAAUAAACUAAUUUUUAUUUUAAAUGUUUUAAAAUAAUAUGUUAUUUAUUUAUUUAAAUUAGAGCGGUCUUAGAAUUACCCGUUAUCAUAUCUGUGUUCAUCGAAUUUAAUUUUUAAAGUUAUUUAUUUAUUAAACAUGAUCGAUCCGUGUCUAUAUAGAUUUGCUUAGUUUGUAAUCUAUAUUUUAUAUUAUAAAACUUUCUAAAUUUAUUUUAUAGCGUGAAACGGAGGUCGUCUACGGAAGAACAUACCUGAUAUGCUGUUGAGAAGUUAUUCGUGCAUGGUGGGAAGGGGGAGAUCGAAUCGAUUGACCUGAUCGAUCUGCGUGCGAUCAAUGGCUGAGAAAGAAGGCCCAGAACCCUCCGACGACCGUGGCG
rnacentral:lncRNA from 1 species